UACAGAGGGUGCGAGCGUUAAUCGGAAUUACUGGGCGUAAAGCGCACGUAGUCGGCUUUGCAAGUCGGGUGUGAAAUCCCCGGGCCCAACCUGGGAACUGCAUCCGAGACUGCAUUGCUAGAGUAUGGGAGAGGGAAGCGGAAUUUCUGGUGUAGCAGUGAAAUGCGUAGAUAUCAGAAGGAACAUCAGUGGCGAAGGCGGCUUCCUGGACCAAUACUGACGAUCAGGUGCGAAAGCGUGGGGAGCAAACAGG
rnacentral:rRNA from 1 species